AGAUGCUGUGCUCACCCCAGAGACGGAUGGAUCACACCGUUGAAAUUUUCUCCAUGUGUGUGACUCAUUUGUGUGCAUCUAUGUACAGGCCAGUUAACGCUGCCUGUCUAUGCACGGAUGCUGAGAUUCGGGAGCAUCCACUGGAGCACAGGAAACCUACAAGUGGUCACAUCCUUAACAAAGAGUGAUUCUCCCUCUUCCAGCAAAUAUCCACUACGAAUAGCUCCUCACUAUGGAGUGAGGCUUGGGGAUCAUCGACCCAUCUAUACCAGGAUUUUGGCUAGCCUUGCCUUGUGUACAUCUUGUGCAGGUAUUCUCCAAUUGCUGCUAACUGGUGCCAUAGAGAAAAAGUCACACUCCGCACCUUGUGAGAGAAGCUACUCCAGGUGAGAAGCCACUCUUGAGGCUCCAGGUGAGAAGCCACUCUUCCGGGUCUGUGUUAGGAACCAUUCUUCAGGUUCCACGUUUGAAAAGCCAGCUCUUCCGGUUCUGUGUCAAGAGUCACCUCUUCAGGUUCUACGUUCAAAGCCACUCUUCAGGGACUGUGUGAGAAGCCACGCUUCAGGCUCCACUCUUCCCUCAGGCUCCUGCCAGCACGGGCUGAACAGCUAUGCCACAGUUCUUCACGAAAAUGAACCGAGAUCUAAACCAGGAUUCCCUCCUUUAAGUUGUUUCUGAUUCUCCAUCCCUGUUUCUAUCCUGGGAAUAAACGUUAAGAGAUGCCCAGGUAACAAGGAAAGCCAACAUUCUGAAGGCUUCGCACGUUCUGAAAUUCCUUGCUAUGUUAACAAGAAUCAGCAUGAGAUGGCUUGACCCAGAGGGUGCAUGCCUGCAACCUCAGCACUGCAGUUACUAAGGAAGGCAGUUCUCGUGCCCAAGGCCAACCUGCACUUCAGAGCAAGAGCUUGCUUCAAAAGAACAGGGCUGGGCUGUGGAAGACGGCUUGGCAUUUGCUGUACCAACUGGUGACUCAUGUCUGAGAACCAGAUCCCACUUGGGUGGAGGAGAGAACUGACCAACUCCCAAAGUUGUUCUCUGACCGCCACAUGUAUGUCAUAGCAUGUGUACUGACUGGUUUUGCGUGUCAACUUGACACAGGCUGGAGUUGUCACAGAGAAAGGAGCUUCAGUUGGGGAAGUGUUUCCAUGAGAUCCAGCUGUGGGGUAUUUUCUCAAUUAGUGAUGGGGGGGGGGCAUUGUGGGUGGUGCCAUCCCUGGGCUGGAAGUCUUGUGUUCUAUAAAAAAAGCAAGCUGAGCAAGUUAGGGGAAGCAAACCAGAAAGAAACAUCCCUCCAUGGCCUCUGCAUCAGCUCCUGUAUCCUGACCUCUUUUGGUGAUGAACAGCAAUUUGGAAGUAUAAGCUAAGUAAACCCUUUCCUCCCCAACUUGCUUCUAGGUCAUGAUGUUUGUACAGGAAUAGAAACUCUGACUAAGACAGCAUUUGUAUGCCCAGACUCACACACCUACUCCCACAAACACGCUGCUGCUGCUACUACUACUACUACUACUACUUUACUACUAUUACAAAUAGUAAAUAUUAUGUGUUUAGUAUCACUAAGUAACUAAUAAAUUGAAAGCAUUAAAAAAAACAGCAAAAACA
rnacentral:lncRNA from 1 species